rnacentral:rRNA from 1 species
AUUGAACGCUGGCGGCAUGCCUUACACAUGCAAGUCGAACGGUAACGGGCCUUCGGGUGCCGACGAGUGGCGAACGGGUGAGUAAUGCAUCGGAACGUACCUUUCAGUGGGGGAUAACGUAGCGAAAGUUACGCUAAUACCGCAUAUUCUGUGAGCAGGAAAGCAGGGGAUCGCAAGACCUUGCGCUGAUUGAGCGGCCGAUGUCAGAUUAGCUAGUUGGUGAGGUAAAGGCUCACCAAGGCGACGAUCUGUAGCGGGUCUGAGAGGAUGAUCCGCCACACUGGAACUGAGACACGGUCCAGACUCCUACGGGAGGCAGCAGUGGGGAAUUUUGGACAAAUGGGGGGCAACCCUGAUCCAGCCAUGCCGCGUGAGUGAAGAAGGCC